rnacentral:rRNA from 1 species
GAUGAACGCUGGCGGCGUGCCUAAUACAUGCAAGUCGAGCGAACAGACGAGGAGCUUGCUCCUCUGACGUUAGCGGCGGACGGGUGAGUAACACGUGGAUAACCUACCUAUAAGACUGGGAUAACUUCGGGAAACCGGAGCUAAUACCGGAUAAUAUAUUGAACCGCAUGGUUCAAUAGUGAAAGACGGUUUUGCUGUCACUUAUAGAUGGAUCCGCGCCGCAUUAGCUAGUUGGUAAGGUAACGGCUUACCAAGGCAACGAUGCGUAGCCGACCUGAGAGGGUGGACGGCCACACUGGGAGCGGGACAACGUCCAAGAUCCUAAGGGAAGCAAGAGUAGGGAAACCUCCGCAAUGGGCGGAAGCCUGAAGGGGGAAAGCCGGGUGGAGUGAGAAAGGUUUUGGAUCGGAAAACUCUGUUAAUAGGGAAAAACAAAAGUGUAAAUAACUAAGCCAGUUUUGAAGGUACCUAAUCAAAAAAGCACGGCUAAAUACCUG